ACACGCCUACUGAAGUCAACUGCUACCGACUGUGUGUCUAAUGUUGGAAAUCAGGCCAUGUCAAAUCAUGCACAUGUGAAUGUGUUGAUAUUAAUCUGGUAUCGUGUCCUUAUCGCAAAGAAUAGGACUUGAUUGUAUUGAGUUUGAAGCCUUACUGUCUAGUCUAGGAAGACUAGAUCUGCAACAAUGGAGUCCCCAAUGGAUUACAUCAAAAUAGCCAGUGCUGGACUGGUCACCGUGGGAGCUGCUACAGUUUAUUAUUUUCUCCAGAGCCCAGAGACACCCGAGUUGGCAGUUGAUUUAAAUGAUCAGACUCAGGUGAGAAAACGGUCGUCCUGUACUUAAUUCAUUCUAACAGAAUCUAACACCCCUUGGUUCACUCAGAGACUUGUACAAGCUUGUCAUGGAUGGUAGCCUUGAAGAAUUGUUGCAGAAUAGACAAGACUUCAUCUCUCCCCAAGUUAUCUCUAGUCACUUUUGUACUUUUAACACAUUAUCAAAUGACCUUCAGAAUUGCAUGUCCUCUUCACCCCUGCCCUCCCCCUUAUUUUUUUGUAUUUGUUCCAUUUUGCAAAGAUUAUGUAGCAAAUCUAUGUUGACCACGCUAUCAAUGACGUCAUCGUAGUUUUCACCCGGAAAUGAGAAAAGGGAGAUGAGGGAGGAGAGGCGUUUUACAACUGUGCCAAUGGAAUAUAGAAUAAAGCCUUUGGAUUGGCGUCAAUUAACGCUAUGUAGUACCUUUGGGUGUGUGUUUGACACUCAACUAAAGUGUCAAUAAUUGUUACUAAAUUAAGAGGCCCGACAGCGCUUCAAACUUCUAAUGUAACCAAUUAGUUCUAAUUAUUCUUACCUAAUUAUUCUUACUCAAUGAUAUUGAAAUGUUGAUUACACGUUUGUAUUCGACCAUUACACUAAGACCAGGUGUACAUCAUAAUAAUUAGUUUUGGAAGUUUUAAAGUUAACAACGACACCGUUGUAGUCUAAACAAGUAAAAAAAAAAUACAGCCUGUAGGUCUCUGUGGUCCCCGCUGUUCAACUGAGCAAUGAAGUGAACAUCUAACUGUUCAAUGAAAUGAAGUAACGCUCGCUACUCAAAUCUUUUUUUUCUUGGCGACAGAUUUACAAGAUCUAUUCCCAUGUGCAUGGUGUGGACAGCUUAUUUUUAGGUCGUGCCUCUUCUGGCUUGUUAAUAUGCAUUUAGCAUUUCCUGUUGUGUGAAUAGAAGAACAGUGUGGGUGUUGAGAUGGAUGCAUGAGUUGGACUCCGUUCUACCACUUGAACUGAAAUACUUGGUCUUGUCAGAUGGAGAGAAUAAAGCCAUACUAAGCACAAAAACGAUUCCAUUGAACAAACACAUACUAAGCUGGAUCUAAGUUUAGGUUUACCAUUGACACUUUUUAACGCUAAUUCCUACACACAAUAUGAAAUCACUACUGUAUAGGAAUCGUAAUCUUGUCUCAACACUGCAGCUAUUCAAUGCAGCGACAAUCUUUUGUAUCCGUUCUAGAGACAAUGACAUGAAUCGCAAGGGUAUUUACAAUUACAAAAUAUUUGCUGAAUAUGUUCUAAGCUUCCUUGUGACAUUAAUUCAUAAAUAUACUUCUUUCAAAAUCCCAUCAUGCAUCUGGCCAUCUCAUUUACUGUAUUCAUUUGU
rnacentral:sRNA from 1 species